CGAGUGAAGCGGCAAAAGCUCAAAUUUGAAAUCUGGUACCUUCGGUGCCGAGUUGUAAUUUGAAGAUUGUACUCUGGAGUUGGCCCUUGUCUAUGUUCCUUGGAACAGGACGUCACAGAGGGUGAGAAUCCCGUGCGAUGGGGUGUCCAAUUCCAUGUAGAGUGCUAUCGAAGAGUCGAGUUGUUUGGGAAUGCAGCUCUAAGUGGGUGGUAAAUUCCAUCUAAAGCUAAAUAUUGGCGAGAGACCGAUAGCGAACAAGUACAGUGAUGGAAAGAUGAAAAGAACUUUGAAAAGAGAGUGAAAAAGUACGUGAAAUUGUUGAAAGGGAAGGUUAUUAGAUCAGACUUGGUGUUUGGCGAUAUUCAGCCUCUUGUAGGCUGUUCACUCGUCUUUCACUGGGCCAGCAUCGGUUUGGAUGGCAGGAUAAUGGCUGUUGAACGUGGCUCUUCGGAGUGUUAUAGCUUCAGCUGAUACUGCCUAUCUAGACCGAGGACUGCGGCUUUCGAGCCUAGG
rnacentral:rRNA from 1 species